GGCUAUUAUGCCAACUCUCCCCAUCGAAGAAAAUUUAACCGGACAUUUCUCUCAUCAGAUACGCUAUUUCGAAUCUCAUAUUUGGUUAGCUUCACAGAUGAAUUAAUAUUCAUGCACGUGACGUUUCUUACCCGGAUGCGUAUUAAUGUUGCAUAUUUAUAUUUAUACUUAUGGACAAAGUGUAUUAAUGCCUAAAUUUUUCUCUUAUCUCCUAGAAUUCCUUUUUUUUUAUUUUAACAGCACCAAAUGGAACAGGCGAAGAAAUUCUACAAAGAUAUCGCUAGUCGCCGCAAAAAAAAACACGCACGGAGGCAAUUAAGAGGCAAUCGUUGCGCCAAUUUAGGAACAAUGUGCCCACACAACUACGUAAAACUGGGUAUGUCACGAUAAUCAGUCGUGCAACAGGUAGGUGAUAUAAAUUGUAUUAAAUCGCUUAAUUCUACCUUACCCUACCUAAAGAGCUCUCUGGGGGUGGUAA